AACGAACGCUGGCGGCAUGCCUAACACAUGCAAGUCGAACGAGACCUUCGGGUCUAGUGGCGCACGGGUGCGUAACGCGUGGGAACCUGCCCUUAGGCUCGGAAUAACUCCCCGAAAGGGGUGCUAAUACCGGAUAAUGUCUUCGGACCAAAGAUUUAUCGCCUUUGGAUGGGCCCGCGUUGGAUUAGCUUGUUGGUAGGGUAAAAGCCUAUCAAGGCGACGAUCCAUAGCUGGUCUGAGAGGAUGAUCAGCCACACUGGGACUGAGACACGGCCCAGACUCCUGCGGGAGGCAGCAGUGGGGAAUAUUGGACAAUGGGCGAAAGCCUGAUCCAGCAAUGCCGCGUGAGUGAUGAAGGCCUUAGGGUUGUAAAGCUCUUUUACCCGGGAUGAUAAUGACAGUACCGGGAGAAUAAGCUCCGGCUAACUCCGUG
rnacentral:rRNA from 1 species